AGAUGCUUCAGCACUGGGCACUGCCUU
rnacentral:sRNA from 1 species